AUGGGUGUGUUGCAGGUGCAAGGUAAAAAUUCAAGCUUUUCACAUAAAAUAGCCUCACCAUUGAAACAUAUAUAUAUUUUCAAUGUGACAAGAAUUGUGUUCAAUAUAACAUCCACUGAGCUUCUUCACAACCAAUAAACACUUGUCUUGCAGUAUCACCAUUAGGGUAAUUCGAUCAAUAAGUCUGGGAAAACAUCCAGAAAUCGAAUUCUGUGCUCAGGAUUCUUAGAAUCAAAAUAGAGAAUCUCCUUUCCGCCGUCUAUGUUGACCAAUGAAGUAUGGAUCUCCAGAAGAUUCUGCCUGUGGGUUAGGGUUAGGUUGUAACAGUAGAUGUUCAACAGAUUCUGGUUGAUUACAAUAUGAGCAUUUCCCAGUUGGGUGCUUGCCUAUUCUAUAUGAUGAAUGGUUAAGACCUGUAUUGUAUGUCCAAUUAUCAGUCGAGUGAUGACAUUCCCUUCCCCUCCAUUCCACCUUUCUCCUUGCCCCAACAUGUUUUUGUAUCUUGUACAGAUGCCUUUGUUUCCUGAUCAUCCCGGUAAUCCUGCCAUACUGUAUUUGAAUAUGUUCUGAUGAAUCGCUAAGCCUCAGUUUUACUUAACGGAACUUGUAAACCUAUAUUCUUAACUCUUAAUUCUUAAAGUGUUUGUUUGGCCAGAGUAUCCACCUGUUCAUUCCCCUCCACAACAACAUGAGCUGGAACCCAGAUGAAUUGUGUAGCUAUGACUCUAAUUUCCAUCCUAUAUAUUAUGAGGAAUAUUUCAUGAAAGAUAUCAGUCCUGAUAGAUGAUCUGCUGAGAAACUGUCAGAUGUAAUCAUUAUUGCAUAGCAGAUCAUCUAUCAGGACUGAUAUCCUUCAUGAAAUAACGGUGUUGUUUAUUUCCCUCUUAGUCACUGCAGGGCCAAUAAUAUUGCCAAUAGCUCUGUGCUAUAUACUGACACAUGAUCUGAUACUCUUGCAGGUCUCACUCACCGGGAUAUAAACUGCUGCACCUGCACACCCUGCUUCAGGAUCUUUGGAGCUGUCUGUAAAUAACAUUAUGGAGUCUGAAAAGUACUGAUCAAAAUAAUUCUGUACUAUGCGCAAUGCAGAUAUAUGCUUCGACUUCUCCUUCAAUUCCUGCAGUAUAUUAAAGUCUACCUUUGGAAAUGGGAAUAAAAGGAUGAAAUUGAGACUGUAGGGCAAUACUGUAAUUGACAUAACCCAAUUUCUUCCGCCAUUACAUCACCUACACAGCCAAAGAGUGCAUUUCUCCCACUUCCAUUGCUGAUACCGGAGAUGUUGUGAAUGAUCCACUGAUGAUUCUCAACACCUGAGCUUGUAGUACAUCCAAUUUCUUGAAGUUUGGUUCUGCUGCUGACAUGUAAGCCAAGGACAGAUCUCACCAGUGCUCAGUAUAUAUUUUGUAAAGAUUCUCUACAUGCUCCCCAUUCAUGUCCUGUCAAACAACAAGUAUUAGACUUUUUUAUAAUUUGCUCUUGAUCUAAAUGUUCCAUGUGAGUGUUCCAUCAAACCAAAUCCCCAGAAAUCAAAUAGCUUUGACUUGCUCCAGAUGUUGAUUAUAACAUUUUAGGGAAAUAGGUGUGAUUAUACGCCGUUUUGAGAAACAAAUAACUUGUUUUUGCUACUGACAACUUGAAUCCCCAUUUGCUUACCCAUUCCUCCACCUCAGCUAUUGGAGCUUGGAUUUUCCUCUUAACAAAUGAUACAUUGCGGCCCCUUAUCCAAAGAGCUGCGUCAUCCUUGUACAAAGACUUUCCUAUGCUUUCCUCAACCUGAGAAAAUACAUCAUUUAUCAUUAUAGUAAAUAAUAACGGACUACAUACACUACCUUGCAGAGUUCCAUUAUCCAAUGUAUAUACAUUUGAAUAUUAUGCAUCUACUUUUACCUGUAUCUUCCUUUCAAAUAAUAAUUUCAUUGCCCAAUUAUAUACCCUACCACCAAUUCCCACUGAAUUUUCUGCCUGUCUGUCCUCCGACCGAGGCUUUUUGCAUCUGGGGGCGUGUCCAUUCUUUUUACAGCCUACACUUUAAUCAUGUCAUAAACAAUAUUUAACUUAUUUUCUAUAAGCCAAAAGAAAAAUUGCCUCGUAAGGCUUUCUCAUCUGUACAUCUGCGACAUCCUCUGGUCCCUGAACUUGGACCUGACAGAAGAAAAACUCAAAGUGUGGGCCCCCAAAGCCCGUCAAUGGGGAUGAAAUAAGGAAGAAAUCUGUCAGAG
ensembl:lncRNA